CAGUGAUGCUGGUGGCGAUACGAUACAACGACCUACGGUACACACCCAGUCGGAUGAACUCUACCCAUUACUGUGAUGGACGUGGAGUAUACUUUUUUUGUUAAUAAAUAACACCUUUUGGAAGUGUAUAAUGCGUCCACUCUCACUGAUUGCUUUUAACUCAUUGCAUGGCUUAUGGUAUGUGGAAAAUAGUUGCACAGUUGGAAUCAGGCUUUUAGCUAGGAUUUUUUGUACAGCACUUGAUCGUUUUUAGGUAAUAUUACAAUUACACUCAUUUAUUUAUAUGUUUAGUAAUUUAAUACAUAAUAACAGUGAGUGUAACUGAAACUAGGUAACAAGGUACAAAAUUCAAGUAACAACUUUAACAAAAAGAAACAACUUUCUACACAACUUUAAAGUGUAUGAUGUAUAUUGUAUUGUAUUGAAUUUAGAUUAAUUAAGACCACCACCUUAACACACAAACUCUUGUUGAACUCAUAAAGUAGUAGGUUCAGAGACGUGCGGUGAGACAGCUGUCUUCUGUAGCUUCUGCGAGCCCGUGAAUCAAUGUUUCGUUGGAAUCAUGAUGUAACGUUGUUGUAGCGGGAAUA